rnacentral:rRNA from 1 species
GCCGCAGUUUAUCUGUGCUAAGGUAGCAUAAUAAUUUGUCUUCUAAUUUAAGUCUUGUAUGAAAGAUCACACAUUUGAUUUAUUAUUUUAACUCAAUAUAAUUAACUUAUCAUAAAUAUAAAAGAUAUUUACAAAUAAAAAAGACGAUAAGACCCUAUUGAAUUUUACUUAAGUUUCACUGGGGCAGUACGUUAAAAAUUAUUUUAACCAUAUUUCCAAAUACAUCUAAUAAAAUUAAUUUUAAUAAUAUUACCAUAGGGAUAACAGCGCAAUAAUUUAUCAUAGAUCUUAUAAAAUAAAUUGAUUACGACCUCGAUGUUGAAUUAAUAUUCUUAUAAUCGCAAUAGAUUAAAAAGAAAGUCUGUUCGACUUUUAAAUAAUUACAUGAUUUGAGUUCAGACCGGU